CGCCCCACGCUCUCAGGCGGCUCCCGGCGUGCUGCGCGCGUAUGCGGCCAUGUUGAGGGGCAAUGUUCCACAGCAGCACGCAGCGCCGGCACUGGAUCUUCCAUGGCGAGGAGGAACUGGCGCGGCGCCGCGCUGAGGGGAACCGCCGGGCCCGAGCCAGGGCGGCGGCCAGCGGGAAGGUGCCGCAGGGCGACCCGGUGCUGCUGGAGCCGCAUGAGGAGCUGGCGCUAUGCAAGUACUACGAGAAGAGGCUGCUGGACUUCUGCGCCGCAUUCAAACCCGCGAUGCCGCGGUCCGUUGUGGGAACAGCUUGCAUGUAUUUCAAACGUUUUUACCUCAAUAACUCAGUGAUGGAGCAUCAUCCUCGGAUAAUAAUGCUAACAUGCACAUUUUUGGCCUGUAAAGUAGAUGAAUUUAAUGUAUCCAGUGCACAGUUUGUUGGUAACCUUCGAGAAAGUCCUGUUGGACAGGAAAAAGUUCUUGAACAAAUACUGGAAUAUGAACUGCUACUUAUUCAGCAACUGAACUUCCAUCUCAUCAUUCACAAUCCAUACAGGCCAUUUGAGGGAUUUCUAAUUGAUAUUAAGACUCGCUAUCCAGUGCUGGAAAAUCCUGAAGUUUUGAGGAAAACAGCUGAUGACUUCCUUAACCGAGUGGCUCUGACAGAUGCGUAUCUGCUCUUUACUCCCUCACAGAUUGCUCUCACUGCCAUAUUAUCUAGUGGCUCAAGAGCAGGAAUUAAUAUGGAAAGCUAUUUAUCAGAAAGUCUUACGCUGAAAGAGGACAGAUCAAUCUUAUCCAGAUUACUAGAUGAAAUGAAAUGCAUGAAAAAUCUCAUUAAAAAAUAUGAACUGCCAAGGCCUGAAGAGAUUGCUGCUCUAAAACAGAAGUUAGAGAAGUGUCACAGCUUGGACUUCUCAUUUAAUACAAACCCGAAGAAGAGGAAAGGUUAUGAAGAUGAUGAAUAUGUCACAAAGAAAUGUAAAAUGGAUGAGGAAGAGUGGACUGAUGAUGAUCUUGUGGAUUCAGCAUUACUUUGAAGGAAGAUGGACUCCUACCACUGCAGGAACUACCCUGUGGUGUCAGGUGUGACUGCCUGCCACAGGCUCCUUAUUAUGUGUCAUAAGGUCUUUGUGCUGUUAGCUACCUUGGCACUAAAGCCUUUUACUUUCCUAAAAUAAAAAGUUGUAGUUCCAUUAAACCCUCAUCCAUUACAGGUCUAACACUAGCAAGAUUUGCUUUGAGAAAUCUCACCCUUGUUUUUGGUUCAGAAACAGUUUGCUGUGUCUGCAAUGUAGUGUUAUAAGCACCAGCUGAUUUAUUUUUUAUACACCCAGUUAAGAGUUCUACAAUAUGCACACCUACAUGCAGCUUUGGGUUUCAUUUCAGCCCCGUUUCAUUCCCUUUGCUGCAUUUUGUGUGUAACAGGUAAAUUAGGUAGGCAGCUCUGUCUUCCAGUUUGUAGUUACCAUGUUAUAUUGCCUGUACCAUAGCAACCAAAUCCACAAAAUAAUCCCUUUUACACACUCUGUCCAAGAUUUAAGUAGGACACACUGAAAGGUAAAUUACUUACUCGUCUGAGAUGCAGUUUAACAUAGACUUGAUAUGGUUAUGGGACAAUCUAAGAAAAAGACUUCUCUAGUAACAAGGUGUUGCAAACACAUGUAUUGUCACUAGGGAAGGGCAUCACGUGUGUCUGUCUGCCCAGUGCCAUACAUAUGAUAUUUAGGAGCUUUCACCUUCAAGAAGCUGUUCCAGCUGGAGACCAGGGCAACACAGGGAGAGCCACUUUAAUAUUACAGCAAAGGUGCAAAAGCAAAGUCUCUGAUUUUAUGUGACAGAGAUUUGGCAGUUCUGGUCGACAGGAAGAACACUCUAGGUGUUGUAAAGGUUUGCAACAGUGUUUGUAUGAUAAAAUUAUUCAAGCAGUUAUCUCAGUCUUGUCAGUGAAUCCUUUUAUUCCCUAUUAUAUCACUGCCUAGAACAGAAGACACAGUGAUGAUGAAGUACUCUUUAAAUCAACAGCACAUUUUACUCCUCAAUUUUUUAACCGUUUAUAGCAGUGCAAUGGGCAGGAACACCUUCCACUAGACAAGUUUGCUCCAAGCCUCAUCCAACGCCACCUUCAACACUUCUUGGGAUUGGGGCUUCUCUGGCAUUCUGCCAGUGCCUCACCCCACUCACAGGGAAGAAUUCCCUUUUACUAAAUCUCAACCUAUGUAUGGAGUUUUAGCAUCUGCUUUCUCACCCACUGCUGUACAAAUUAAGGCAUAAGGAGAAGGUAAUGCUGUCUGAGGACUCAUGCUCAAAAAGUGACACAUUGUAACCACUGCAAAGUAUGCCACAUUGCAGACACUAAAAAAUUUCCACAGUAGCCAUUCAGCUAGUUUCCAUAGAGUUAGAAAUAUGUAGCUUGAUUUAUUUUAAAAACUUACUUUUCACUUACAAAAAUAUUUAUGCUAGACUUACAAAAAGACCAAACAAUACCUAUUUUAUAAAAUGGUUUAAUGAAUGCAUGCAUGUCUGAUAUAAUCAAUAAAUUUACUGAAUUCAAAUUAUUUACUGUUGUAAACGUUUUACAAAAGCAUUGUGAUUUAUCUGGAUAUACAGUUCUUGAUGGAAAAACUAUUCCGACUGAAUCAGUGGCACAUCAGAAAAAUAAAGCUGACAAGAUCCAUUCUGGAUAUUCUCUUUCAACAUCAUUCCAGCAAGAGAAACAGCAUGGUAUAAAACGUGUACAGUAAAGGUUGUUCCUACCAUAACAUCAAAUUCUGGAAAAAGUAAAUAAAAGUUAAAAGUGGUUGAAACAGUCAAAAGUCAUAGUUAUUGUAACCAGUCAGAAAUUACAGUAAGAAAUGUUAUCCAGUUAGUUAUAGGUGGUUGUCAGAACAACGCCUUUCUUCUCAUGUCAGUUGAUAAUUCUUUUCCAAUCAGACAGCAAAAACUUUGGCAAUCAGAGGUGCUGAAAAUUUCGAAGUCCUAGACACAGUCACAGCAUUUUCUCUCAGAAGGUGAACUGUACACGAAGGCUCAGAGGUUGUGAAAUUUCAUUGUUUCCAAGUGGAAAAAAAAAAAGUGCAUAUGUCCUGCACAGAUAGCUUAAAAAAAGCUGCUGGUACAAUCAUUCACCAACAGGACCUUUGUUUUCUUUUGCAUAGUUCACACAUCACUGGGAAUGUGACAGGGUGUGCUAUUUUUGGCAAGAGCAAGAAGGAAGUGAUACUGGUGAGAGUUGCCAUGUUGGGUGUGCUGGAUCCAUGCAGAAUUCAGGCAUGUGUUUUGUGAUGGUACUGCAAUUUGUAGUGCUGGAAGGAUUCUUACUACAAGACCUGGUAUUGCUCUGCCUUUGAGCUGACCAGAAACCUACAGCAUUCCAAGACUCGAACCCUCUAAAUGAAGGGAAGAGCCAUCCAUUAGGAGCUUUUUUUUUUAAUCUAAAUGAGAGAAAAUCAACAAAAUUCAGCAAAAUCUGCUAUUACCUAUCAAGUUACUCAUUAAACUGAUGAUAAAUCAAUAAUGCUGCAAUUAAAACAGCAGAAUAAUCCAACACGUAUUUUCAAACCAACAGUUAGCCAAAACCUCAUGUAAAACCUGUCAUUUAAAGAAAUCUGAUGUAUCAUAAUACACAGAAGUUGCUAUUUAAUCAGAAAAGGAUGACAUCUGGAACCUACCCAAAUGCCACACUUUUUAAGUAUUCUGAGAUGUCUUCUAGGGUGUUUCUAAAAGAUUAAUUCAGGAUGCUUACCAUAUUUUUUUCAUCUCACUUCUAAAAAUUAAUUAUUUCAUUUAAAAUACAUAUAUAUAAAACAUGAGAACCUAAUUCCUGUUACAACAAUCACACCCACAAAAUAGUCACGUGUUACAAGGAUACAAUGACAGCAUUUCACUUUCAAACUACAAUAUGUAGAAUGCACACAGUGAAGCUUUUGCCAGUGCUAACUGAAAUUCAUGCUAGUAUUACUUCUUUAAAGAAAAAUUACUUUCAAUAUCUGAUCAAAACCAUGUAAUAAGUUAUAUAUAAAAACUUCUGGUUUAAAAA